rnacentral:rRNA from 1 species
GGACCCGCGCCGUAUUAGCUAGUUGGUAAGGUAACGGCUUACCAAGGCGACGAUACGUAGCCGACCUGAGAGGGUGAUCGGCCACACUGGAACUGAGACACGGUCCAGACUCCUACGGGAGGCAGCAGUAGGGAAUCUUCCGCAAUGGGCGAAAGCCUGACGGAGCAACGCCGCGUGAGUGAUGAAGGGUUUCGGCUCGUAAAACUCUGUUAUUAGGGAAGAACAAAUGUGUAAGAACUGUGCACAUCUUGACGGUACCUAAUCAGAAAGCCACGGCUAACUACGUGCCAGCAGCCGCGGUAAUACGUAGGUGGCAAGCGUUAUCCGGAAUUAUUGGGCGUAAAGCGCGCGUAGGCGGUUUCUUAAGUCUGAUGUGAAAGCCCACGGCUCAACCGUGGAGGGUCAUUGGAAACUGGGAAACUUGAGUGCAGAAGAGGAAAGUGGAAUUCCAUGUGUAGCGGUGAAAUGCGCAGAGAUAUGGAGGAACACCAGUGGCGAAGGCGACUUUCUGGUCUGUAACUGACGCUGAUGUGCGAAAGCGUGGGGAUCAAACAGGAUUAGAUACCCUGGUAGUCCACGCCGUAAACGAUGAGUGCUAAGUGUUAGGGGGUUUCCGCCCCUUAGUGCUGCAGCUAACGCAUUAAGCACUCCGCCUGGGGAGACACCGCAAGGUUGAAACUCAAAGGAAUUGACGGGGACCCGCACAAGCGGUGGAGCAUGUGGUUUAAUU